GGUGGUUUGUCGCGUCGUUUGUGUAAGCCCGCAGCUUAACUGCGGGACUGCAGGCGAUACGGGCAUAACUUGAGUGCUGUAGGGGAGACUGGAAUUCCUGGUGUAGCGGUGGAAUGCGCAGAUAUCAGGAGGAACACCGAUGGCGAAGGCAGGUCUCUGGGCAGUAACUGACGCUGAGGAGCGAAAGCAUGGGUAGCGAACAGGAUUAGAUACCCUGGUAGUCCAUGCCGUAAACGGUGGGCGCUAGGUGUGAGUCCCUUCCACGGGGUUCGUGCCGUAGCUAACGCAUUAAGCGCCCCGCCUGGGGAGUACGGCCGCAAGGCUAAAACUCAAAGGAAUUGACGGGGGCCCGCACAAGCGGCGGAGCAUGUGGAUUAAUUCGAUGCAACGCGAAGAACCUUACCUGGGCUUGACAUACACCAGACCGGGCCAGAGAUGGUCUUUCCCUUUGUGGUUGGUGUACGGGUGGUGCAUGGUUGUCGUCAGCUCGUGUCGUGAGAUGUUGGGUUAAGUCCCGCAACGAGCGCAACCCUUGUCUUAUGUUGCCAGCACGUUAUGGUGGGGACUCGUGAGAGACUGCCGGGGUUAACUCGGAGGAAGGUGGGGAUGACGUCAAAUCAUCAUGCCCCUUAUGUCCAGGGCUUCACACAUGCUACAAUGGUCGGUACAACGCGUCUGCGAGCCUGUGAGGGUGAGCUAAUCGCUGUAAAGCCGGUCGUAGUUCGGAUUGGGGUCUGCAACUCGACCCCAUGAAGUCGGAGUCGCUA
rnacentral:rRNA from 1 species